rnacentral:lncRNA from 1 species
AACCAUCACCGAGCGUGCACCACUGUACCGACGUCGGAUCGAAGUACCGACCUGUACGAAUGUCGCGCCUGUCUCCUGACUGCGAAAGAACAUAAACCGGACCUAAGGAAUGUCCAUCGGGUUUAUCUAACCCACAACUAAGAAACCCUAAAAGCAUAACCCCACGAAUAAACCCACGAGAAUCGGUUUCCCAAACCGAUCGCCGUAAUACGCCAGAAGUCCCGUAAUCGCACCGAGACUCCGCGGGGACCCACGGAUUGUCUCGGAACUCACCGACUCGUACCACGAGUCACCCGCUGCCACUAAAUACAAAUUUACGUGUGACUUGGCAGUAAAGACCUUAACUCACUCCGAAACAAUUAUCGUCGGAUAAUCGUUCCGAUCUGGGUUCCCGGAAGUAUCGAUUUCGACACCGGAACCCACCGUCGCUCACCCGUCAUUUCCGAACCCUCGAAACGACGCGAGUGACCAGCCAACAAGGCUCAGCGACGUCGCAAAUGAUCACCAAGUAUCGUCGGAAGAGUUCCGAACCGAAACCGCAUUUCGUCGGGAGAUUUCGCCGAAAAACGCUCCGAAAAUCACUUUUUGAUUUCCGCAAAGACUUAGGGCCUUGGACGAUCAGUCCAGAGGUUAUCCUCAGCCCUAACUUGCUGCCAACAGCAGCCUCGAAGAACAAAAUUGCAUAAAAGCCCUUACCGAUGCAUAAACUCGCAUUAUUUAUGUGGUUUCGGAGCUUUUAUGGGCCGUGCACGCAAACCAGAGGUCGAUUAAUCAGACCGUCGCACUUGCUGAUAGGUUUCAGCAUGUCGGAGGCCGUGCUCACCUUUCGGAACACUGCUGGCCACUGUGGUGCGCGCACGAGCGACGCAAAAAUCUGUGAAACUGUGCGCACAGCGCAAAGAUUGCGAUUAACUCUCUAACCAGGGCAUAUUUGCCCCUGUCGGAGGUGAGCACAAUAUUCAGCACGAGUUGUAGAUCAUCGUGCUCACUUCCCAAAGUUUAGGAGGCUUAUCAGAUCACCGGAAAGGUGACCAGAACCUCGAAAUUCAGUGUUGGAGCAUAAAAUAGCCUUACCAGACCCGAGGGAGCUAGGGUUGACUGCCGGCGGCCGGACGGCGGGCGGUCCGGCCAGGGGAGGGUGUGACCGGUCGGUGGGGUUCGGGGAACCUGCUGGCUGGCGGCGGGAGGCGUCCGGUGGCGCGGCGGUAGAGAUCAAGUCCCUCCACUCCUUCUCGGUUCAAGCUUCCCGGCGGCGCGGCGGCAGCCGGAGGAGGUCGGGCCGGCGACGAUCCGGUGCCGGAGGCCGCGCGCGGACCCCGAUCUCGAGCCCGCUCGGUCUGNCGGCGGGGAGCGGUGGCUGCGCGCGGACCCCGAUCUCGAGCCCGCUCGGUCUGGGUUGACCCGAAUUGGCCGCAGCCUGCUCCAGCGGCGCCGGCGACGUGCGGCGACGGCGGCGAUGGCCGGUGACGACACCGGAGGAAGAUCUUGGCCGAGGGGGAAAGAUUCCAGGGGGUUAUGAAGCUUUCCCAACAAUUUUCGGUCAAGAUGGUGGAGAGGGUGUCCGAGGGAGGAGAAGAGGGUGGUUCAGGUGGGUUCUCCGGCGACCGGAGUUGCUUGCCGAAGGUCGGGGCACGCGCACGGUGAGGGCAGGGGAGAGUUGAGGCGGCUAGGGUUUGCUGGGGAGGUGAGAAGGCUUUAGGGUUAGGGUACACCUAAAUGUAUACAUAGAUGUAUAGUUGCGGAAAGGCCCUCCCAAGCAUUUUAUUUAAAGCCCAGCCCCUACCAGAAUGUGUAUUAUGCGUACACAUCCCUCGACGUUCGAAUUCACGCGAAAUGGCGCAUAAAAUAUAGGGUCUUUUCGCGAUUUAUCUGUUUUGCCAAUUUUACCCCUCAGCGGACUUUUCGCGAUUCCCGAAGAUCCGUCCGUCGGAUUUCCGAACAGAUUGCUCCAGCGCGUUCAGCAUGACUGGGGCAUCGAAUCUAGUAUCUUGUUUCAUCCGAUUUGGUCUCCGAUACGCGACGGAACAUACCCUCUUUGUUUUCACUAUGUAGCCACUUAUAUUAAUGCAUGUGAAACCAAUCAAACCCCUUUUUCUCGACAACCAUGCAUCAGAACUCAAUUCCGUCAGUGCCAUUAGGUCUAGAACAGUCGAGCCGUUCGAAACGAUCUAUUGGAGCGCUAUGUUCGGAGUCCAAUGCGCACUAGAACCGUCUUCUACUCACUGGCUCCUCCGAAAAGCCGGAGUUACUAUUCACUUUAAGUUAUCGGUUCAGGUCGUGAAACUUCUCCAUCUUAACUCGUUGUCUCCUGAAACUUGAUGGGUGCUUAUGUAAUUAAAUUACACACAUAAACAUCGUCAACAGAAAGUUUAGUUGCACUGUCAAAAUCUCAGUCCUUACACUUUUACAAUUUUGCAGAGACAAUUACAAUAACUGAGUUACUGGAAGCAUUUACCAAAAAAUAAAAUAAUUAAAGAGUGGAAAGUUGUUAUUUUUCUAUCCAUGUAGCAUGUAAUGGUUACAAAGUGGUUCUAUAUAUUUUAAUCAGCAUGAUUUACACUGUUCAAAAUUAUAGUAGCAAAAUUUAUUGAAAGUUUUAUACCUCUAGAGAAGAAACCGUUGUAAAUCUUGUAUUGGAAUUAUGUUAUGUCUGUUCAUUUUUCGGUGCACUUGGUGCUUACUUAAAAUACCUCCAAAUCGAAUGAUUUCCUAUCUGUAGGAACCUUAAUGCUGUAGAUCGUAAGGAACUAUGUUGAUCUCUCGCCCACCCUUCUCGUCCCUCUAGGCAUUCCGCUUUAGUGUCUAAUAGGUAGAAGUCAUGACAAGAAAUCACUUAAAACGAAUAGGUGGGUACUAAAAGACCAAGCGAACAAAAUGCUGCCUUUGUUGCUAUAUGCUGCCAUCAUUGCGCAGCUUGUUGUGUUGUUAAUAAUAAUGACCGUAUGAUUUGCAUACGGUCCGAAAGAGAGAGCAAAGGGAAUUGCGUGCCACAAUGCACUUUAAUCCAAUUUGCAAGUCAACUUAAUGAUCCUUAUUCUCUUUGCUUCUCUUUUGUUAUUUUAAUCCUCAUUACAUUCUAAAAUGUUGUGUAGAACAUGCAUUUCCGAGUUACAAGGAUAUGCCAACCAAAUGCACAUGGGACCGUUGCGGCGCGCCAUAUUUAUUCUUCAGUUAGAGUACACCAAUUCACACUUGAUCAAUUCAUUGGAUAUAAUGUUCAAGUAUUGAAACACAUGCAUACCUCUCAAUAUAGUAGUUUUGUGUAGAUAUCUACAUUGAGGUUAUUAUAUUUCUUAAUAAUUAAAGGUAAACAUUAGAAAAUUGUGUUACUAAAUAUACUUGAGCUAUAUAGUGCACAUAAUCUAUAUGUUAUCAACCAUGUGCAUCAGGCCUUUUUGAAAAUAUUGUAUUAACUAACUAUGGCAUAGAACUUGAUGGGCACCUAUUCUUCAUUUUUCACAAAAAAAAAGAGGGGAAAAAUAUGAUUGCUAAUAUAUCAAAUGAUGGUUGAUUCUACUGAUUGUUCAAGAUGCAGAAAUAAUGAUUGUAUCGGUGCGACUCACAUGCAUGUUGACAAUUUAAUGGACACAAAAUAAUGGAAUAAUAUCCAAAAACUUAGCAACUUGUUAUUAUCACAAAGAUAUCUCAAUCAACUGCUUGACCUAAUGCAAGUUUUAAUGGUUGAUGUAUACCGUUAGACUAUUUGUUGAUUUGAAUACUUCUAUACCGUUAGACUUGAUAUCUCAAUCAACGGUAUAGAAGAAUUAAUGGCCGUCCGAUAAUCACAAAGAUAUCUCAAUCAAUGGUAUUAAACCCUUUCGAUAUCUAGGUAAAUGAUAUCGAAAAAUCACAAAAUUUAUUUUCAAGAUACUUUAAAUAUGCUAGAUCAAGUCUAACGGAACCGAUCGUCGAUUCGAAAACUUCAUCAUCGAAAACGGCUUAGGAGCACGGAGUCCUCCGUGCUCCUAAUAGCACACAAGACCUACUAUAUAUAUAUAUAUAUAUAGAGAGAGAGAGAGAGAGAGAAACUCAGUAGGAAGCUGGAGGGGGGGUAUGAUAUCCAUCCGUCAUCUAGACGGGAGAGAGACAGAGGAGAGAGAGAAAGAAGAGAGAGAGACGGAGAAGAGAGGAAGUUUCGCUAGAAUAGUAUCGGUAGUAAAUCGAGCCGUUUACUACCGAUUUGUUUUCGAUGAUAGAGCUUCCAAAUUAAUGAUCGCACGUAGAAACAUGAUCUAAACUAUUUAAACUAUCUGGAAUCAAAUUCACACAUUUUCGAUAUUGUUCUCUUGUCCACCAAGUGAAGCAGAAAAUGAAUUGGCCUAGAAAUAAAUAUCUUUCAAAAAGUGAUGAUAAUUUUUAUAUUUGAGAUCUAGAGUAUAGAUCUUAUUUUAAAUAGUUUUAAAAAAUUUUAACAAGAAUUUAGUUGAUUGAACAUUCUAUACGUUAAACGAGCAAAUGCACCAUACGGCAUUAAAUUAUAGGAUUUUGUGACCCUGUUGAUGUUCAGUUAGUGAUUCCAAAAAAUCAAUCGAAAUUUGAUUUUAGAUAAUUAUAAAUGGUUAUAUCAAUGGUUCAACCGGUGCAGAUUCCGUCGAUUGAGUCUCUAUAAUAAAAAACAAAUCGGUAGUAAAACCAACGAGCAGUUUUACUACGAAGUAGCACAGUCAAACUACUAAUAUAUAUAUAUAGAGUCCGCUAUGGUGCUUUAAAAGCACAAGCACUUGCGCUUGUAAGCGUUUUAGACAUUGAUCUGCCCUUGACCGUUUACUGCAUUAAUUUAUACUAUUCAACACACCACCCACUUAACCCCUUGAGGCCACAUCACUCCUAACUCCACAAUCCUUAAUCAAAGGCUAAAAAUUUACAAGCACCAAUGUUCAUUGGUACUGUUAAAAGCAUAGAGCUUCAAUUUUCUUUCUCUCUUCUCUCAAUAUAUAUCUAUAAUUAUAUAUAUAAUAUAUUAAUAGAGAGAGAGAGCAGAGCAGAGUUGAAGCUGAGACUUCUCAAAAGCACCAAGGGGUUGGUGCUUUUGAGAGUAUUCUAGCUCAAUUCUCUCUCUCUCUCUCUCUCUCUCUCUCUCUCUCUCUCUCUCUCUCUCUAUAUAUAUAUAUAUAUAUGGCUAAAUUACAGAAAACCUUCCUGUCAAAAUCUGAUUUUUCACUUUCCCCCCCGUCAUUUAAAAACCUACACUUUCCCCCCUGUCCAAACCCGAUGUUUCUAGCCCUUGGAUCUACUCGAUUACUAAUAGCCCUUGGAUCAAACACUAUUCCACCCACCAUCACCUAUCACCACCUACCACCAUCAUCCCAACUACACAUUUCUCCAUCCAAGGGUUAAAAACUCAAAAGCACCGUUCUCUUGGUGUUUUUGAAAGUAUUCUAGCUCAACUCAUAUAUAAUUUAGCUAGAAUACUUUUAGAAGUAUUACUCCCUUGGUGCUUCUAGGUUUCUAGCCCUUGGAUCUACUCCUUAAUUACUAAUAGCCCUUGGAUCAAACACUAUUCCACCUAUCACCACCUACCACAACCUCCCACCGUUAUCCCAACCUUACAUUUCCAUCCAAGGGUUAAAAACUCAAAAGCACCAAGAGAUUGGUGCUUUUGAAAGUAUUCUAGCUUAAUUCAUAUAUAAUUUAGCUAGAAUACUUUUAGAAGUAUUACCCCCUUGGUGCUUCUAGGUUUCUAACCCUUGGAUCUACUCCUUGACUACUAAUAGCCCUUAGAUCAAACACUAUUCCACCUACCACCGCCUACCACCAUCAUCCUAACCUUAUAUUUCUCCAUCCAAGGGUUAAAAACUCAAAAGCACCAUUCUCUUGGUGCUUUUGAAAGUAUUCUAGCUCAACUCUAUAUAUAUAUAUAGACGAUUUACACUUUUUUUGGAAUGAACAAAUUGUUGAGUACUCGACCUAAUAACAGAUCUUUAGAAUCCGCAACCUCCUCUGAUAUCGACUGUUGUUGAUCUAGUAUUGAUUGUUGGGAUCCCGCAACGAAAGCAUCAAAUCGAAUUUUUACUAUAAACAGGUCUUAUACAAUCAUAAAAGAGGGAAAAAUCGAAACAGAAAAUAUGCAGGUAAAAUAAGAUUCACUAAAUAAGAGAAGAUUAUGCCUAAUUCCUCUUUUGCUAUAGAGUAGCUUAAACCCGAGCUCUCCUUUUGAAUCUCUUAAACAGGUCAUAAAAAAGUAAUAUGAUCAAAAUAUAUUACUAUACACAGAGAAGAAGAUUUAAUGUCACGCCCCGGGGUCCCUUUUUAGACUUAAAAGCUAAUGUGGAAGUGCUCAAAUUUUUUUUUUUUUUUAAAACCUUGACCCCAGAGCAUGCCAAAUCCGCCACAAAUACAAGAAAUUCACAGUUCACACGGAUAGAGUCUCCCCUAUAUUUGCAUGGCGUCACAUAAGUAUAAGAUACAAGCACAACAGUAUGACAUUCACAUACAUUCACCAUUCACAUUCACAAUUCAUUUCAUCACAAAUAUUCAUAAAUUCAUAUCUAUUAAUUUAAAAUGUUUUCUACCCGGAAACUCAUUUUGAAACAUUAAAAGUCAUUAAAACCAAGAAAACCUUUUCAAAACUGUUUCCCACAUGGAAACUAUUUUCUUUUAAAACACGCUACCACGAGGGGUAGAAAAUAGUUUUCAUCUCACAAGAAAACCAUAAGUUCUUUAUUACAUUCAGAAAAUUUUAUUUAUCCAAAUAAAGUAAACCACUGAACCAAUAAGUCUAAGUUAAUUAUUUAAGAAGUCCAGUUAAGGAAUUUAACCAAAAUGACGGAUCAGUAACUCUAUCGAUUGCUAGGACGCGUGCCUCACGAACCGUCCCCACUUGGGCCCGCGACGUCACUUGAAAGGGGGUGGGGGUGAGAUCAUAUACACAUGUCUCCCCUCCCAGUAGGUAUCGCAAGCCGACGAGGGUGAGGGGUACUUACCAGUCAAGGAGAAUAACAAAGUAUAGGUAAUGGUGUCACGCCCCGCGACCACCAAUUUGGUCGGUUCGGGCACGUCAACAGUCGCCGAACGGACAGCACCUCCCUUGUCCGCUCAAGGCUCCACCACCACAUGUAUAACAUUAGCCAUUCAAACAAAGAGAAUGAAAGUAUACAUGACUUGCACGAGGGCAAGCAACAAACAACACAAGUGAAAGUAAUCUAACUAUUACAUUCAUAUAUUGUAAAUUGAUCAUUUUGAAUCAAAUACAAAGCUCAUACAUUUUCUUUACAUCCAUUCAUCCAAUAUACAUAUUCAUCUCUCUAAUGAAUUUAUUACAUUUUUUCAUUCAUCAACAAUAAUAGAUGAAAUACAACAGGUGGCUUUAUACACAACGGUAGUCCGCUACCUAGAGCACGAUAACCAUACUGCGAACCUCGAGCACCCCGCUCGCGCUAGAACCUGCAUGGUUAGUGGGAUGAGAACUACAAUAAAGUUCUCAGUAGGUUCGGCCGCCAACCUCGCCGACUCGCCCACUAGGUCUACUCAGGCAUAUGUAAGAAAAGAAAAGAUAGAUAGCAAACCACACUAAUGCUAUUACAAUGCCUGCAAGAAAACUGGGUCAGCAGAUAUAUGAUCAUAAGUAUGAUAAUGCAUGCAUGAUUCACAUUUACUUUGGCUUUUACCCAAUUAACCCGGUUAACACUUGUUAACCUCAAAACUCACAACCAAAAUCCCUGUCGAUCGGGGGGACUCGAACCACACUAGAGGGACCAUCUUCUGGGGGGACUUUACCACGCCCAGUGGUGACAACUCUGGAGCACACCACCUGGGGGGGAGCUACCGCCCUCAAGUCAAGACCCUAUGUUAGUAUAAUCCCAUCCUCAAUUUUGAGGACGUAUAACCAAACUGGCCAUAAGUCACAAUGCCAUAAGGCCCAAGGCCACACUUGCCACAAUGCAUAUAAGGAUUUAACCUUGUCCGAAGGAUUUCACCUCAUCUAGCAUAUCGUAUUAUAAUGUCACAAUGCCACAUAAUCAUAAUGUCACUAAUAUCACAUAUCACGAUGCCCAGGGCCACACUUGCCACAAUGUCCACUAAUGUUAUAGUUCAAUAUUUCACAAUGCACAUAAUGUUUAUCAACAUCAUAAUUCAACAACCAUAAUGCUCUUAAGGUUUUACCUUAUCUAGCAUACAUAUACUUGGCCACACUUGCCCUCUAAUGCCAAUGUCACUUUUGUUUACUAAUGUCAUAGUCCGCAAUCCACAUUCAAUUCAUACAUUCAUAGAGUUUAACAUGCACGGUCCAAUAUCCAUUCAUAUGUUCUCACACCUAGAAGCAUAUCAAGAUUCCCAACCAUAGCCCAAUACCCUACAAUGCAUGAAUGCUACAAUACACAUAUAUGCUCAAAGAAGGCGACAUAGACAUAGUAAGAAAUUCGGAGAUUUCGGAUAGCAUCCCCCACCUGUAGUGAUUCUAGAAGACCACGAUUCAAACCCCGCGAUUUUUGGACACUGUUUUCUCUCGACUGCGGCAAAACGAAGCCAAAACGAGAUUUAUCCCACAUAUCUUGACGUAGACUCGACUGAUCGCCGAACCGAGUGUUCCUACACGUCAGAUUAUCUACCAAUUAGGGCUACAAGAGAUCAAACUCAAGUUAGAUCUCAAUUCUACAAAACCCCCAAAUUUAACCCUAAGGUUUUCAUCUUUAUCAAAUAGCCCCUCAUUCAUGGAGAUCUAUAUCUAAAUCCACCAUAGCAUCUUCUAAAUGCUACAAUUAGAAGAGAUUAACCAAGCUCUAACAUCAAAACGCUCAAAACAUAGGAUACUUAUCUUAAACCAAGCUUUUCUCCAUGCUAGGCUUGCAAAGGAGGGUUGCUUCACCACCAAGCUAGCUCUUCUCCACCAUAGCUCCACCAUUGGAGCACCCCCAAGGAGAGAGAGAAAGAAAUCUAGAGAGAGAAAGAGGGUUUCCAUUAGUGUUGGAGAGAAGAGAAAUGAGGGCUAACCCUCAUUACACUCACACAUAUACACUCUCAUAUGGCCUAAUUGCACUUAGCCCCUCCAAAUAACAGAGUUCACCCAACUUUGCCACUGCACGGUUUCGGGGUCCGGACCCUCCAUGCACCAAAACACCGAAAAUUUCAAAACUUCAUCCAGCAGCUCUCCAAGGUCCAUACACCUCUCUAAAUCAUUCCGAAGCGUCCGGAAUGCACAACGGACCUCUCCAACUCGUCCGCAACCACACUUCAGUCAAUUUGACGGAAGUUCGGUACAACCUAUUGAGGACAUGGUAUGUUACAAAUGGUAAUACAGUAGCAAUGAUAAACAAGAAAUGAGAUAUAUAUAGAAAUGAUAUAUAUAUAUAUAUAUAUAUAUAUUUCACUACUGCUACUGUAUGCAUGCAUCAACUGGAUGACACGUCCAAAAGUACCCAAUCAAAACCUGCCAUAUCGGUCCGUAGACCUCAGGCUUGUGCCACAACUGCUCCAACCUAUAUAUGGCCCUAGCAUAAGUUCUUGGGUCUGAAAGGUAUAUGACAUUAGUAUAAGCUCUUGGGUCUGAAAGGUAUAUGACCCUACCAUAAGUUCUUGGGUCUGAAAGCAUAUAAUCCGAGUAUAAGCUCUUGGGCUCACGGGCUUGCAUUCCGAACCACUUUUCCGAAAAAGAACACCCUCUUGCGGUGGAUCAGACCGCUGGUGUUCUUAAAAUGCGUAGAGCAAUGGUGAUCGAUGCUGAUAUACUCAAUAGCCAACUAUAGGCAACUAGCCGAAAAUCCUACCCCUCAGGGUAUACCGACCGCGUAGGUCACCAAGUAGUCCAACCGACCAAGUAGGUCACAAUACCGGAUACAACGAAAGGACCGACUAGGUCAUAGAUCUCACAAAUAAUCACAAAGUCGCUCUGCUUCUAAAACAUGAUACUGGAUAAGCAAACCAACUAAGUAGAGCAAUAAAGAGAUAUGGUAUGGGUGCUAGGCUUAACAUAUAAAAUGCAAAGUGAUAGUAGGAGAAGGGUGGAAAGGAUGUCACCGAGCGUGCACUACUGUACCGACAUCAGGUCGAAGUACCCACCUGUACAUAUAUAGCACUGGUCUUCCAACUGCAGAAGAACGUCAACUGGACCUACGAAGGGUCCACCGGAUUAGAAUCCAACCCACGUAUAUAAAACAGAAACUCACAUUCCCACCAGUAAACCCACGAGAAUCGGUUUCCCUACACCGAUUACCGUAACUCGUCGGAAGUCUCAAAAAUCACAACGGGACUCCGCCGGGACCCACAAAGUGUCCUGGGACUCACCAACUCGUGCCAUGAGUCACCCGCUGCCACCCAACACUACAGUGAGGCACCGUCGCAAGAAAUCCGAACCGAAAACGCGUUCCGUCAGUGGAUUUCACCGAAAAAUGCAUCGAAAAUCGACAUUCGAUUUCUUAAAAGGCCCGGGACCUUGGACAACCAGUCUAGAGGUCACCCGCUGCCUGCACACACGGUCCACAGUAGCCACGAAGCGUAAAUUUGAAUAUAAAUGUCACGCCCCGCCCCGAAACCACUACUAAUUUGGCACGAUUUGGCCGCGGCGGCGAAUUGCCGAACGGACAGCACCUCCCUUGUCCGCCUAAGGCUCAACAACAGGAAUGUGCACAAGAAUUUACCCAGAAAAUUAAAUUCUAAACAUACACAUUCACAAGGGCACAAACAGUGCCAGUGCCAACAAUACAAAAAGCAGGUAAUCCACAAGAUAAAGCAUGUGAAAUAAAGAGAGUACCUUACUAACUAUUACAAUAGUUUCAUCAUUUUCAUUUACAUUAUUUCCUUAAAUGAGUACAUCAUUCAUCCAAAAUACAUAGCUCUCCAAAUCCUCACCUACAAUGACUCUCUCAGAUGCAUAGGUGUGCUAAUGCAAAAAGGAAAGCUACUAUGCUACCACGAUCUCACUGAUCGGGCGCGAUGCCCUUGCCGCGGUCCUCUCUCGACAACCCUGUACCUACCACUGGAAAUAGAGUGGGGUGAGAACUAUCUUCCAUAGUUCCCAGUGGGCUCGGCCGCCGACUCUGCCGAUCUCCCCACUAGGUCCAAGUGGGCACAAGCAACAACAGGUAGAUAGAUAGAUAGAUAUCUCAAAGCAGUAAAUGCAAUAGUAGGAAAACUAUGCUACUAUGCCCAUAUUCACGAAUAUGAAUACAUGCAUCAUAUAAUAAAGGUUUGCUACCAUGUUAACAAAUUCGAUCCGUGUUCGAAUAGCAAUGUUCAAUGACAUUAUUAAACCUUUGACCUUUCCGUUUACCCAAUCUGUGGCGAGGCCCUAGGGCUCGCCUAUAACUCACCUUUCAAUCCCAAAGUGGGGAGGGAGCUCCAAGUGCACCCAAGCCCGAGACCGUCUGCGGACCUCCAUGUGGUCCGGACCUCCAAGUGGUCCUAGUCGCGCGACACUCUGGAGUACUCGACGACAAUCCCCUUUAUGUGGGGAUAGGAUGGCUAUACCACCCCAAAAGCAGACUGUGAGCUAAGAUCUAUCCUCUCCAAGUGAGGAUACACUACCACUAGGGUCAACAACCGAAUCCAAUCCUCUCCAAGUGAGGAUGCACUAUAACUAGGGUCAACAACCCAAUCCAAUCCUCUCCAAGUGAGGAUGCACUAUAACUAGGGUCAACAACCCAAUCCAAUCCUCUCCAAGUGAGGGUACUUAGGUUUACUAAGUUCUCUAUCCACAAGGCAUUUUCUAGGGGAUCCAUUUAUCCCUAGGUUCUCAAACCUCUAGUGUCAUUUACACUACAUUAAUGCCACUCGUUAUUCUUUAACAUUUGGAUGCCACUCGUUUGUUCUUUGACAUUAACACUAUUUUCUAUGUCAUCAACACCCCCAUCGGGUUCAUCUCUUUUCUUUCGCAUCAUAGGAUCCAUGUUUCGACCCAAUCCUCACCUAAGCUACCAAGCGUUCCAAGUACACUAGGUUAUCAAUUAGAAAGCAUAAGGAAUGGAGCUACUAUACAAUCCCACAAUGCAACAUGUAAGAGAUAAGAUUAAAUGCAAUCUAAGACAUAGAAAGGAGUUCGAAAGCUUCGGGAUGGCACCCCCCACCUUUAAUCGAUGUAGAGGCUUUGGAAAACCUUCUUGGCGAACUUUACGAAAAGGCUUUAGCCUUCCUUGCCCAAGACAAUGCCAAAUCGGCCUUGUUUUGCCGAUAGCUCCACGCUGGCUCGCCGAAUGCUAAAACCGACUUCGCCCCCGCGUUUUGUGACCUAGCAAUUAGGUUUCCAAGGCUUCAAAUGAGAUCAAUCUUAUACUUUCUCAAAAACCCCAUUUUGGAGCCCUAGGUUUGCACCCAUAGCAAACCACCAAUAAAACCCUAGAUUCUUGGGAUUGAUCUACUUAGAAGCAUGCUUAUGGUCCAUUUGACCCAUUCCAAAGCAUCAAAACCCAAAACCCUAAGUUCUAGAAGCUAGGGUUCAAGAGCUUACCUCUUGUGCUACACCAAAGAGAAGAUGAGAGGGAGAUGAAGGUGUCCAAAGCCUUCCUCUUGAUCUCCUUCUCCUUCUCCUUCUUAUUCUUCUCAUUCCUUUCCUUCCUCUCCUUCUUGUUCUUCUUCUUCUCCUUUCCUUUCUAGAGAGAGAGAGCAAGAGAGAAAGAGAGUGUGAGAGAGGGAAUGAGAGAAAUGAGGGAAUGAGAGAGGGGGCGGGCUCAUAAGCCCUUCUAUUGUAACAAUAUCCAGUUUAGUCCCUCAACUUUUCAUCUCUCAACCUGCCUUCACUAGGCAUUCUGCGCCCAGAGGGACCGGUCUCUGCUCGGGGAGACCGGUCCCCGAGAGCUCUCCCUGCGGCCUGGGGACUUCUCGCGUACGGGAACCGUUCCUCACCCGAGGGACCGGUCCCUGGGAGACCGGUCCUUCCUGAGAGACCGGUUCCCGAAAGGGGAACUUUCAGGACUUAGCCAAAUUUAGGAUUUCUGUCACUCCCCGGAUCACACUUUCUUCGGGCGCGUCGACAAAUCCGCCGUAUACAAAGGAAUUUUUCCUGUAUACGAAGCGAUAGCUGUACUUGUAAAUCAAACACUACUACGAACAGUAGUAGAGAGCUGCUAGAGAAAACAAAAGCUAAACAAACUGAGUUUCAUAUACAUAGUCCAAAUCCAAAAUACAAAACUACUCGCACUGGCGAGUUAAAGAUAGGUAUGUACAUGAACUCCAGCAAAACAACUACCUGCAGUAGGGUGCCUCUAGCUCUGUCAGUCGGGUAGGGCUCUAGCUCGCAACGCCCUUGCCUCGAUCCUGAUCCGCGGAAGGCGCAGUAGCCAGAACCUGUGGCUCUGCAAAAAUAUAGGUAACAACGGGGCGUGAGAACUACUGUAAAAACAAGUAGUCCUCAGUGGGUACCGCCCAAAACAACAUCGGUCCACCCACUAAGUCUACAGAAGGGAGCAAGAAUAGCCGAAAAGCAGGAAAUAAACUCAACCGCUACCAAUCACUAUACUAUCAUGCUCUACACUAACCAACUGUAGGAAAUGUCCAAUCUGACCCAAUCCAAUCGGGACUGUAAGCAUACCCGUCCCCGGGACUGUGAAUACACCCGUCCCUGCCCCGUUGCGACUAUCGGGCUCUAUCCACACUAACUGGUCCGUGGAGAGCAAGUCCAACUGGCAUGAGCGACACCAACGCGAAAGCACAAAGCCUGACUCCGGAGUGGCACUCGUGGGCGCUACCCAACCGAGUAUGCAGCGUAUCUCUGUCGAGCUCAAUCAGGCUCCAACUAGCCAAAGUCAAGUGAACAGGGUCAAAACAGGUCUACAAACCAAACCCACGUGCCCUCGGCACAAUCUGUGACCAAAACAAGAAUCUGGGUCCACCGCUAACCCGAACGGCACCCAACGACCCGAAACAGCCUAAACUCUGCUGAAAAAUAAGCUCGGCAUCCCAGCACGAGCGUAAAUGCCUUCUAAACUACCCCAGGUAUCCAUCGCACUGAUACUGCAACGAUACAAUCGAAUCACGGCUCCUAGAGCUAAAUCUGGUAGUUUAAGCAUAUGACGGGUCAAAACGCAGGUUUUCUCCUAAGUCAAAAUUCAAGUCCAACAUGUAUAAUAUAAACAUUCAUUUCAGCAUGCUUUUAUAUUCAUAUUACGUCCAAAAUGCUAAUCGAUGAAUUAAAGCAUGAUAUACAAAAAUCGAACUAUACACGUCGACUAAACAUGCACUUAGGAGCGAAACCGAUGAUACACCCACCUCUAGUGCAAUUCCUGGCAGCAAGAUGGUCUCGGAUCACAAGCAACACUGCUGGAAACACCUCCAAACCAGCAACAAAGCCCCUCAAGAUCUGGAUUUACAAUUCACCCAAAAAUCCAAUAAAAAUCAUCAAUUUCAGCCUUAAGCUUGGAUUUAUCCAAUUCCAAUGUCAAAACUCACCUAAUGAUCUCCAAUUCAGGUGGAGAGGGUUCCAAAUCCAGUACUGGUUGAUAGGGAAAGUGACUCAGCUCCACAAAGCCCCUGCUUCCCAAGUUCACCCCAAGAAAACUCAAGAAUUGGCAAAUUCUGUCCAAAGCAACAGCAGCAGAGGAAAACCUCAGUUCGACCAAGCUAACCUCAACCAAAAUCUGCAAUUCAGGGCUUCGUGGAUUCCUCUGGAAGUCUAGAAUCCAGCAAACCAAGUUUCGUCGAAAUCCGACCUUCCUACGUCGCGCACGAGCCAAAACACUGGAGGUCGUCGCUGAAGAACUGCAGAAUCAGCACCUUGCAAUUCUUGGAGAGGUGGAUCUUGAUGCAAAUUGGAAAGAUUGGAGGGAUUAGGGAUGAAAAUUCUAAGUCCUCUGUGAAGAACAGGUAAAAGAGAUCAAUGGGGACGAAUACCAGGUAUUUAUAGGCUGCUGGAGGGAUAAGAUAAGCCCUAGGAAAAACAGUUGCUAUCCAGUGUUCCUACAGAAACGGGCGUUUCUGGGCGCCCGGAACCAUGUUCUCGGCGACCAGAACAUCCCGACUGCACAAACCGGGCUCCUCGGACUCUCCGCUCGCGGUGUGCUACGCCCGUAAAUGGCUCCGGCGGAACUCACCUACUGCCCUGCCACGCGUCGAAGCAAGCGAUAUUCACGAUGUCGAAUUUCCGGACCCACAUCUGGGCGCCCGGAACAUGGGAUCCGAAUUGGCUUCCAGUUUCAGUUAAAUUCAACACUCGUUUCUGGGCGACCCUAACAAUGUUCUGGGCGCCCGAAUCUGGCAAAACUCCAGAUUUUUGUUUAUUCGCUCUCGCGGACUCAACUCCAAAGCACUUUUUAUAUUUUGGACAUUUUUAACUCCUACAAAGGGUAUUCUCUCGACAGUUAGUCGAUCCUGGAUGAAGUACAAUACUCGGAUUUCGAGAAUUCACUUCCUCACAUCCUCCCCUCCUUAAAAGAAGUUUCGUCCUCGAAACUAACUCAAUUCUUAACUUUAACUCAAACCCAUACCUCAUUCCUCAAAUAAAUGAGGAUGGUGCUUUCUCAUCAGUUCGUCGAGCUCCCAGGUGGCCUCGCGAUCAUCGUGAUUGCUCCACCGAAUCUUCACAUAGGAGAUUUCUCGAUUUCUCAACUUUCGCACCUCUCGGGCGAUUACCCCUACCGGAAACUCUUUAUAACUCAAGUCUUCUUGAAGCUCCGGCGGCUCAUAUAGCAUCGCGUGCUUGGGGUCGUGAAUAUACUUGCGGAGAUUGGAGAUAUGGAACACAUUGUGUACAUCCGCAAGUUUCGGCGGCAAAGCAAGUCGGUAGGCCACCGUGCCGACUCGAUCCAAUAUUUCAUAUGGUCCAAUAUAUCGGGGACUUAGUUUUCCCUGCACUCCAAACCGCUUCACACCCCGCAUCAGUGAAACUUUCAAGAAUACGCGGUCGGCCACCGCGAACUCUAUAUCUCGUCGGCGCCUAUCUGCAUAGCUUUGCUGUCUCGACUACGCCGUGAGCAAUAUCUUGCGAGUAAGGCGGACUUUCUCCUCCGCUUCUCGCAGAACAUCGGGGCCGAACUCUGUACGUUCACCCACAUCGCUCCAGUGUAUAGGAGACCGACACGUCCGCCCAUAGAGAGCCUCAAACGGUGCCAUCUCCACACUAGCAUGAUAACUGUUGUUGUAGGCGAACUCAGUCAUAGGUAGGUGGUCACACCAACUUCCCUUAUAGUCAAUGACACAUGCUCGCAACAUGUCCUCCAGAGUUUGAAUAGUUCUCUCUGUUUGCCCAUCGGUCUGAGGAUGAAAUGCGGUGCUAAAGUCGAGCCGUGUGCCAAGGGCUUCCUGCAGGUUCUUCCAGAAGUGUGAAGUGAACCGGGGGUCACGAUCCGACACGAUCGCUUUUGGCACCCCAUGCAGUCUCACUAUCACGUCAAGGUAUACCUGCGCUAACUUGUCACCCGACCACGUGGUGUGGAUCGGCAAGAAGUGAGCCGACUUCGUCACUCGGUCCACAAUUAUCCAAAUUGCAUCGUGGCCGCCUGUUGAGCGAGGCAAGCCGACCACGAAGUCCAUCGAUAUGUCCUCCCACUUCCAAACGGGAAUUGGUAGGCUUUGAAGCUUUCCCGCUGGAAAUCAACGCUCGGCCUUUACUUGUUGGCAUGUUAGGCACUUUGCCACAAAGCGUCCAAUAUCACCCUUCAUUCCUGGCCACCAAUAGUGCAUUUUUAAUCCUUGAUACAUUUUGGUACCGCCCGGGUGAUCGGCAUAUGGAGAUCGGUGUGCUUCUUGUAGGAUCAACUCACGAAGCUCUCCAUCCUUCGGUACACACCAUCGGUUUCGAAACCGAAGCGUACCAUCGGCGUCUACCCUGAAAUCGCCGCCAUGCCCUUCCUCGAUGUUUCGCCGCACCUUUUGGAGUUCGGGGUCUGCGGGUUGCAGAUCUUUGAGCCUCUCCAACAAGGUCGGUUGGACAACGAAUGCCAUCAACUGAGCUGGAGUCUCGGGGGUAACUACUUCGAGAUCCAGCCGCUCCAUCUCUAGCCAUAGAGGUGAUUGAUUAGUAACCCACACGGCAAGGUUCUUCGCCGACUUCCUACUCAGCGCAUCCGCGACCACAUUUGCCUUCCUGGGGUGGUAGACGAUAUCAACGUCAUAAUCCUUUAAUAGCUCCAACCACCGCCGCUGACGCAUAUUGAGCUCCUUCUAUGUGAACAGGUACUUCAAGCUCUUGUGGUCGGUAUAGAUCUCACAAUGGGCACCAUAUAAAUAGUGCCUCCACAGCUUCAAGGCGAAAAUCACCGCCGCUAGCUCCAAAUCAUGAAUGGGGUAGUUCUUUUCAUAGCUCUUCAGCUGACGGGAUGCAUAUGCGAUCACUCUCCCGUUUUGCAUUAGUACACACCCCAAUCCAAGAUAGGAGGCAUCACUGUAGACCACGAAGUCUUCGCCCUGCACCGGUAGAGCGAGCACCGGAGUCGAAGUCAAUCUUUGCUUCAACUUUUUAAAACUCCGGUCGCACUUUUCGCUCCACACAAACUUUGUGCCUUUCUGAGUCAGGCGGGUAAGUGGAAUCACUAUCUUGGAAAAGCCUUCCACAAACCGCCUAUAGUAGCCCGCCAAGCCCACAAAGCUUCGAACCUCCGUGACAUUCGUCGGGCGCAGCCAAUCCUUGAUUGCCUCAACUUUCCUCGGGUCUACAAAAACUCCACCCACGAAAAUCACGUGCCCCAAGAAGGGGACCUCGCGGAGCCAGAAGUCACACUUCUUUAGCUUAGCAUAUAGCUUCUCCUCCCGAAGGACUUGAAGCACUAUCCUUAAAUGUUCGGCAUGUUCCUCGUCAUUACGAGAAUAGACCAAUAUGUCGGCUAUGAAGACCACGACAAAUUGGUCUAAGUACUCUCUGAAGACACGGUUCAUUAAAUUCAAAAAUGCCGUUGGAGCAUUCGUGAGUCCAAAUAGCAUGACCGUGAAUUCGUAGUGUCCAUACCGCGUGCAGAACGCGGUCUUCUGCACAUCCUCCGGUUUGAUCUUCAGCUUGUGAUAGCCGGAUUGCAAAUCUAUCUUCGAGUACACACACGACCCCUGCAACUGAUCGAACAAGUCAUCGAUUCGGGGUAAUGGGUACUUGUUCUUAAUCGUAACUCUGUUCAACUCUCGAUAAUCCACGCAAAGUCGAAACGAUCCAUCCCUCUUCCGUACAAACAACACCGGGGCUCCCCACGGGGAUACACUUGGCCAGAUAAAUUGCUUGUCGAGGAGGUCUUGCAAUUGACUCCUCAACUCUUUCAAUUCCGCCGGCGCCAUUCGGUACGGAGCCUUCGAGAUCGGUACGGUACCGGGAACCAAGUCUAUGACGAACUCGAUCUCCCGAUCCGGUGGUAUCCCCGGCAACUCCGCGGGAAAUACAUCCGGGAACUCCCGCACCACCAAUAGCUCCUCUAACGUUGGAGCUACUCGUUCCACUUCCACAACAGUUGCCAAAAAUGCCGUGCAACCGCUGUUAACCAACUUCCUUGCUCUCGUCGCCGACACCGUCGCGACGAAGCAUGAGCUUUGAUAAGCCCGGUAUGUGAACUCCUCUUGUCCUGGCUCACGGAACGUCAUCACCCUGCUCUUGCAGUCGAUCGUUGCGUGGUACUUCGAGAGCCAGUCCAUGCCCAGAAUGACGUCAUAAGCCUCAAGCUUUGUGAGUUCCAGUGUUCGGAUAGGCAUAAUCCAGUCGCCUAUUUAUACGGGACACGACGCACACUCCGAGUACGUGUUAAACGUUGACCCAGGACCCUCCACUCGCCACUUGUCACUCGCCUCUAUGAGUAUGCCAUGCAUGCGUGCGAAUGAUCUACUUAUGAAUGAAUGCGUGGCUCCUGUAUCAAAUAAAGCCCUGGAGCGAACUCCGUUAAUUAAAACCAUACCUGCCACAAGGCGAUGCUCCUCCGCCUCCGCAGGUUCCUCAGCUUGGACCUGAGCGGCGAAUACCCGUCCGCUUGGGGCCGAUCGCGUCACUUCAGGUUGACGCGGCAUCAUCGCGCGUCCCGUCGACGCGGCCGUCGGUGGAGCUGCUCCAUAGUGAGCCGGAAUCGCCGGCGCCAAUGCAAUCGAUGGGGCAGGUGAGGCUCCUCCUCCCGGGCAGUCCCGAAUGAAGUGCCCCGGUUGCCCACACUUGUAGCACUUCCCUCGGCCUUGCUCACAGCGUGAGACUGGGUGGUCUCCGCCGCAUACAAUGCAUCGCCGCGCUCCACCGCACUUUUGUUGAGUGCGCGGAUACUUCGGGGGUUUCUUGUAAUGUGUUUGUCCCCCCGAACUACCACUGCCCUGGCAUUUCUUGCCCUUAUCCUUGGACUCAGCCAAAAGCUCACGCUUCUCCCGAACGUGGGCGUCUCCGUGCUCCGCCCAUAGCGCUCGAUCGAAGACCUCCGCAAAGGUCGUGAGCUUGAGUAUCUGCACGGCCUUAUAAAUCCCCGGCCGAAGUCCUCGCAAGAACCACUCGGCCCGGUCCCGGUCAUCCUUUACAAUAUCCGGGACGCAAUCUAUAAUAUGGGAGAAUUCUUGCUCAUACUCUGCCACCGAGCGGUCCCCUUGCUCUAGCUUGCGGAACUUCUCCUUGAGCUUCCGCUUCAAUGUAUCGGGGAAAUAGUUGGCGAACAGCUCCCGCUUGAAUUCCUCCCAUAACAUUGGCGGAAGGCCGGGAAGCCGAUCCCGUUUGACGCGCUUCCACCAAACUUUCGCCGCCUUUUCCAAGCAAUGGGUGGCGAGGUACACCUUAUUUCUCUCCAAAGUGCGCAAGUCUUCAAAGAGGGUCUCCAUCGAGUCAAUCCAAGACUCGACCAUCUCCGGUUCCACCUUCUUGCCCUCGAAGGUUGGCGGAUGGAACUUGUUGAACUUGAUAAGAGCCGCCAACGCGCGCUCUCCCUCCACGUCCUUGGCCGUCACAUCGGGUGUAGCCGAUCCCGAUGCCGCCUGUGGCACGAUCGUUGGCGGUGGGCGUGCCGUCACCGGAACCGCCGCUAUGCCCUCACCUUCUGCCACUCCGGGUACAUGAGUCGAGGGUGCGGGCGGACCACCGCCCUCAUUCAUCGUCACAGCCGCCGCCGCAACCUGCCGCUCCAAAAGAUCCUGGAGUCGCUCGAAUCGGGUCUCCUGGCGCUGCACCACACUGGUCAGCGCGGUCACUUGCGCUUGCAACCAAUCCAUCACGCUCGGUUCCUCCUGCUUAGGCACCUCAGGAGUCGGUGCUGGGGCAGUUCUACGUGUGUAUCGUCUUAGAGUCCCUUAAACGCAAUUACUUGGUCAGUCAUCUUAACCAAUUACCUCGUCGCAAUUACGACGCAUGACGACCCAACAACAAAAUCGGGCGGAAGCACACAAGUGUACUCGUUCUAGAGUCUUGGUAUCAUGUCGUCGGCCGCCGACACAACCACCUCGAGGCAAGAACUCAUACCACUUGAAUCCGUCUCUAAUCACGACUAGAGUCAUAUUACCAACUUUGACCCAAUCGAAUCAACUUCCGCCAUCGUUAUAGGUUCACAUUCCGCUCACGCACCUAUAACCUUAGGGCUUACCAACCUAGGGUCUCCUAGGUCAUCCUAGACUUUCUCUCUUUACUUGCUCUCAUUGCUCUGAUACCACAAAGGCUGUCACUCCCCGCCCCGAAACCACUACCAAUUUGGCACGAUUCGGCUGCUGCGGCGGAUUGCCGAACGGACAGCACCUCCCCUGUCCGCCCAAGACUCAACAACAGGAAUGUGCACAAGAAUUUACCGAGAAAAUUAAAUUCUAAACAUACAUAUUCACAAGGGCACAAACAGUGCCAACAAUACAAAGAGCAAGUAAUCCACAAGAUAAAGCAUGUAAAAUAAAGAGAGUACCUUACUAACUAUUACAAUAGUUUCAUCAUUUUCAUUUACAUCAUUCCCUUAAAUGAGUACAUCAUUCAUCCAAAAUAUAUAGCUCUCCAAAUCCUCACCUACAAUGACCCUCUCAGAAGCAUAGGUGUGCUAAUGCAAAAAGGAAAGCUACUAUACUACCACGGUCUCACUGAUCGGGCGCGAUGCCCUUGCCGCGUUCCUCUCUCGACAACCCUGUACCUACCACUGGAAAUAGAGUGGGGUGAGAACUAUCUUCCAUAGUUCCCAGUGGGCUCGGCCGUCGACUCUGCCGAUCUCCCCACUAGGUCCAAGUGGGCACAAGCAACAACAGGUAGAUAGAUAGAUAGAUAUCUCAAAGCAGUGAAUGCAAUAGUAGGAAAACUAUGCUACUAUGCCCAUAUUCACGAAUAUGAAUGCAUGCAUCAUAUAAUAAAGGUUUGCUAUCAUGCUAACAAAUUCACAGUUAGUCGAUCCUGGAUAAAGUACAAUCCUCGGAUUUCGAGAAUUCACUUCCUCACAAUAAACCCCUGCAAUUGCAUAAAAUCACAUCAUUUCAUGUGAUUUUUGGAGUUUUACGGCCCGACAGCGCAAACCGAGGAUUUUUUAGCCUGGCCGAGACAACCGUUGGUAGGUCUCGACAUGCCGGAGGCCGUGCUCAUGAUUCGGAUCUUAGCCGUCCACUGUGGAGAGUGCGGGAGUAACAAGAAACUCUGCAAACAGUGCGCAUAGUGCCUAAAUGGCGCUUACUUCGCAAACCAGGGCUUCGCUGACCCCAAAGGAGGUGAGCACAUUGAUCAACACAGAUCAGGGAACGUCGUGCUCACUUCCGGGAGCAUCGAGAUACCCUCGGAUCGCCGAAAUAGCAACCCGAAGCCGAAACAGUGCGUAGAAAUUGUAAACUGGACUCACCAGAGCUAGGUGGAGCACGGGAUAGCCGGCGGCAGCCGGACGGCGGGCGAACCGGCAGGAGACGAGUGCGGCCGACCAUAGGGGGCCCGGGCACGCGCUGGCCGGCGGCGGGAGGUGGUCGGUGGCGCGGUGGAGAGGCACGAGCCCGCGAGGCUUAGCUCGAGCUCACGGGUCAACGACGGCCAGGCGGCGGCCGAGGGAGCACCGAGGCUCCGGCGACCGGUCGCCGAAGGUCGAGGGAGGGCGGCGCGGCCGACCAUGGGCGGUGGCGGCACGCAGGGACAAAGAUGACCCCGGCACGGCUCAAACUUGUCCUGGGCGGCCACGGGGAGCUAAGGCGGCAACCGACGGCACGCGGGGACGAUGGGGGCGACGUACGGGAGGUCACCGGAGGUCAAAAAGGGCUACGCGGCCGAUCUAGGACAGCGGCGGCUAGCGGGCCAUGACCUUAGCUGAGCUCAACCCAAGCUGGCCGAAGCUGGUCGCGGGUCGCCCAGGCGGUGACGACGGCAUGUUCGGACGGUGGGGGCCAGCGGGGACGGCGCCGGAGGUCAGGUGUCACGACCCGAGACCGAUCCCUUUGGCUGGUCCGGGCACGUCGAACAGAUGCCGAACGGACAGAGCCUCCCCUGUCUGCCCAAGGCUUAGCACAUGUACAAUUCAAGUAGAAAGAAUGCACAAGCGGAAACAUACAUAAUGGCUUACACGAGGGUAAGCAAUAGCCAGAGUGAAAGAAUAUUAGACUAAACAACUCACAAGUAGAAUGAUUAACUUUUAACCAUUUACAAGCAUUCAACUAUCACAUUUGCCUUUACAUUGCUUUUCAUCAUUUCUUUUUACAUCACAAUUCCUCAAAAUAAAAGAUUACAUUCUUUUCUUUAACAUCUCUAACCAUCAAAUACAAAAGAUGAUAUAUAAGGGAAUGCAUCUACUAGCAAAAUAUGAAAAUCCGACUCGGGUGGUCACUGUCUACAAUGCGAUACCUUUACCGCGAUCGCUCGCCGGCUCACUCGGUUCCGGCUCUGUGGAAAUAGUGGGGUGAGAACUAUAACGAAGUUCCCAGUGGGUUCGGCCCCAAUCUCGCCGACUUUCCCACUAGGUCUAACUCAGGCAUAAUAGAAAGAAAUAAGCAGAUAAGUAACCAACUGUACGAAUGCAACUAAUAUGCCUGAACAAAGCUAUCAAUAAGGAUGCUCAAUAUAACUCAUGAAGAACGCAAGUUUUUUGAUCUCUUGUUCAAUCUCAUGGCUAACCUGUGGGUUUCGCCUCAUUAACUCACCAACUCAAAAUCCCAAUUCGUCGGGGAGACUCCUACGACCCGACGGGGACCGUCCUCUGGGGAACAGCACCAACCCAGUGAUGACAACUCCGGAGCGCAUCGCUCGAGGGGGAGCUACCACCCUUGAGCAAGGACUUAUAGCGAGUAUGAUCCAAUCCUUAACUCCAAGGAUGUCAAGUUCAAUCCGUUCCUUAACUAUAAGGAAAUUAUGCACAAAUGACCUUUAACUCUAAGGUUGUAUGUCAUUGUGUCUCAAUCUCAAGUUCUUUGCAUUCUUUGUUUUCAGUCAUGUCAUUAUACUAACUCUAGUGUUCUUUACGCCACAUUUGUUGUUAAUUCUAGCUUUGUUGUUCUUUAAGCCACGCUUGUUCUCUUUGAUGCCACACACUAACUCUAGUGUUCAAAUGCUUUAGCAUUCAUUAUCCUCGUUUAUGCCACACACUCUAACUCUAGUGUCGUCUUUGCAUUUACUAAUGCCACUUGAUCUACAUGUCAUAGUGUCACAUUUGUCCUCUUACCUCAACUAGGUUUUUAUAUUACAUCUCAUGCAUAUAUAGGAUUUUUAGGUUCUCAACCAACUUAUAAUGCAUUUGUACUCACAACAUGCAAACAUUCACAUAAACAUUAUCACAUUCAUCCUAAAAUGCAUGCAACAAUACACAUAUGUAUGCUCAAUAAGUGACACAUUAGACAUAGAAAGAAUUUCAAGGAGUUUAGAGAGCACCACCCACCUCGUAGGUUUGCUAAGGUGCUCGGGUUCGAAUUUCACGAUUUUUAGCCGCCUAUUUCCUUGCCUGCAGCAAAACGAAGCCAAAUUAGGCUUUUCGCUCAUAACUUCGCAUAGUCUUUUCGUAACGUCAAACCGAAAGCACGAACUCGUCGGAAAUAUCCCCAAUUAGGUUUCUAGAGGAUCAAUUUGACUUUGAAACCCUAGCAUGCAAAAGCCCCAAAUUGGUGCCCUAGCAUCAACAUCAAAACAAAACCCUUGUUUUGAUCUCUUCCACAAGCAAAAACAAGCUUGUUAUCAUCUAAAAAUCCCAACAAAACCAUUCUUAGGUCAUUUGGUUCUCAUUCUAAGGUUUUACCAUGAGAGGGGGCAAAGCUUACCUCAAAGCUUUCCUUUUCUUGCACCCAAGAGGAAGAAGAAGAAGCUUGUUCCACUCCUUGCCUUCUUCUCCUCCAACUUCUCCUCCUUGCUCCACCUCUUGAGGGAAAGAGAGAUAUCCUAGAGAGAGAGAGGGAGAGCUCUUUUGUGAAAUGAAAGGGAGAGAAAUGAGAGAAAUAUCUCAUUUGCCCCUCAACAUAACCCAUAUAAUGCAUAAAUGCAUUUAGGUCCCUCCACUUUCAUCACAUUGCACUGCCCAGACUGGGCAUUUUUCGGGCACGGGGACCGGUCUCUCUAGCAGGGGACCGGUCCCCGAGAGCACUCUUGCAGUUUACGUAGCCGGGGUCCGGUCUCACCCUGAGGGACCUGUCUCUCCCCGCAGCGACCGGUCCCCGAGAGCAAAACUCUCAGGACUUAGCCAAUUUUCCCACUUCUGGAAUUUUACGCGCACGGGGACCGGUCUCUCCCACUAGGGACCGGUCCCCAAGAGCUAGUUUUCCAAUACUUAGCCGUUUUCACAAUUUUCACACCUACGGGGACCGGUCUAUCCCACCAGGGACCGGUCCUCGAGAGCCAGGCUGCGCGCAGAACUUUCUGCUCAGCCCAAUACGCAUACGGGGACGGGUCUCUCCCACUAGGGACCGGUCCCCGAGAGCUCAAAAGCUGCAGUUUGCAGAUUUUUAAUUUUCUAGCUCUUGAAGAUCCCCAACAAUGCACUUUUGCUCUUUCAGACACCUUCGACCUUUUCGAAGCGUACCAACCUCGCACUUUGGUCAUUUUGACUAAAGUUCGAUAUUCGUUUACGGAGAUUUCGGUAUAUUAUAUCGGGCCUCAGCCGAGGGAGGGGGCCCGAUGCGUGUGGUUUACCCUUGAGGUCCACGGCCAGGAAGAUGGCAACUUGGUAGAGAGGAUGGUAGAAGAAAGGCAAUACCGGCUUUUCCGGCGACCAAAGUUGCUCGUCGAAGGUUGGGGUGCGCACACGGCUAGGGCAGAGGGGUGCUGGUGAUGGCUGGGGCGCAGCUGGAGGAGCUGAUCGACUAGGGUUAGGGUUUUGUGCAUGAAACCCUAACACCUACAUAUACAUAUAAGUGUAGAUUUGCAGAAAAGUCCUCCAAACCUGAAAAUUUUCAGCCCAGUCCCUCACAGCGUGUGCAUUUUGCUUGUACGCACCUCGACGCUCGAAAUCGCGCAAAACGGUACAUAAAAUAUAGGGCUUUCCGCGAAUUUUUCAUUUUUCAAUUUUGACCCCUCAGUAAACUUUAUGCGAUUCCCAGAUAUCCGUCAGUCAGAUUUUCGAUCGGAUUGCGCCAGCGCGUUUAGCACGACUGGGGCAUCGAAUCUACAAUUUUAUUUCGUCAGAUUUGAUCGCCGAUUUGUGACGAAACCCAUCCUCUCCGCAUUCCACCAAUAUAUCCAUAUAUAUAUACACAUAUAUUUAUAUAUAAUUGAAAUUUAAAAUUCAGAUUCGAAAUUUCCUUUAUAUUCGAAUUAUAGUUAUUACAUCAUUCCCCCUUAUAAGAAGUUUCAUCCUCGAAACUUAAUCAAGCAUCCCCUGCAAACAACUGCGGAUAUCGUUCCCUCAUAGAAGACUCAAGCUCCUACAUAGCAUCGCGCUCCCACUGAACCUUAACAUACGGAAUGCUCCUGUCCAGCAAUUGCUUCACCUCACAUGCCAAUAUCUGCAAUGGAGCCUCAUCAUAACACAGGUCCUCCCGCAGCUGUAUAGACGUCGAGUUGAUGACAUGGGACGGAUCUGGGAUAUACUUCCGAAGCAUGGACACAUGAAAGACGUUGUGCACCCGGGCGAGACUUGGAGGAUAAGCCAAUCUGUACGCCACCGGACCAACAGACUCCAGGAUCUCAAACGGUCCAACGAACCGCGAACUAAGCUUGUUCUGCAAACCGAACCGCUUGAUCCACCUGGAUGGCGAUACCUUGAGCAACACAUGCUCACUGACCUGAAACUCCAAGUCACGCCUCCGCUGAUCCGCGUAGCUCCUCUGUCGACUCUGUGCAAUCAAAAGCCGCUCUCUAGCAAUGUGGAUUUUCGCCUCCGCAUCCUCCACCAAGUUUGGCCCAAUCACUCUGCGUUCUACGACGUCGUCCCAACAGAUAGGAGAUCGACAUCGAUGCCCAUACAAAGCCGCAUACAGUGCCAUCCCGAUGCUCGCCUGGUAGCUGUUAUUAUAGGCGAACUCCACCAGUGAUAGAUACCGAAACCAUCCAUCACCGUAAUCCAGGACGCAUGCGCGGAGCAUGUCCUCAAGAGUCUGAAUGACUCGCUUCAACUGACCGUCACUCUGGGGAUGGAAAUCCAUACUAAAGUUAAGCUUCGUAUCCAUGGCCCGCUAUAAGGUCCUCCAAAAUUGGAAUACGAAGCGAGUAUCCCGAUCAGAUACUAUUGACACCAGCACACUAUGAAGCCAGACGAUCCCGUCGAUGUACAACUGUGCCAAUCGAUCACGGGACCACGUGGUGUGCAUCGACAGGAAGUGAGCUGAUUUUGUCAGCCGAUCUACUGUUACCCAGAUCGCAUCAUGGCCCCACUGCGAUCGAGGCAAUCCAGUAAAGAAAUCUAUAGUAAUAUGCUCCUACUUCCACAUGGGCACAGAAAGUGGUUGUAGCUUUCUUGCAGGUCGUUAGUGCUCUGCGUUCACUUGUUGACAAACCAAACACCGAGCCACGUGCUGAGCCACAUCUAACUUCAUCCCAGGCCACCAGAAAUUUUGCUUCAAGUCGCGAUACAUCAUGGUUUCGCCGAGAUGAACCGUGUAAGGGGAUCGGUGCGCCUCGAAUAGGAUAUCAUUCCUGAGCUCCGAGUCACUAGGCAUACACCACCUGCCUCUGAAACGGAGAGAUCCAUCAGUGUGAAUAGAGAAGUCCCCUUCCUUGCCCUACUCGAUCUCCGCCCGCACCUUUUGCUAGUGUGGGUCACUCUGCUGGCCGAGCAAAAUCCGCUCAGUCAAUGUAGCUUGUACCACUAAGGUCAUCAAUUGGGCCGUGGCCCUAAUAGAAACAACCUCGAUCUCGAGACGAUAGAACUUCUCUACCAGACGAUCCUGUCUCGUGAUCAUAAAGGACAACUCAGCUGAUGACUAUUUCCGGCUCAAGGCGUCCGCUAACAUAUUUGCCUUUCCCGGAUAAUACUGAAUCGAAAGGUCGUAGUCUUUCAAGAGCUCGAGCCAAUGCCUCUACCUGAGGUUCAACUCCUUCUGGGUAAAGAGAUACUUUAGACUCUGAUAAUCAGUGAACACCUCACAGUGUGCCCCAUAUAGGUGAUGCCUCCAAAGGUUAAGGGCAAACACUACUGCCGCGAGCUCUAGAUCGUGAGUCGAGUAGUUCUUCUCAUACUCUUUCAGCUGGCGUGAGGCGUAAGCAAUGACCCGAUCCUGCUGCAUAAGCACACACCUCAAACCGACCCGUGAGGCAUCACAAUAAACCACGAGAUCCUCAUCAGGCCGCGGCAGAGUCAACACGGAUGCGCAAGUUAAUAUAUCCUUUGGCUCAUCAAAGCUCUGCUAAUACUGUGUAGUCCACAGAAAUCUUUUCCCUUUCCUGGUCAGCUUGUUCAGCAGUGCGGCAAUCUUGGCAAAGCCUUCGACAAAUCACCGGUAAUAACCCGCCAAACCAAGAAAACUCCUGACUUCGGUCACAGUAGUUGGUAUAGGCCACUCGACCACCGAGGCUAUUUUCUUCGGGUCCACCGUAAUGCCCGAUAGAGUCACAAUGUGUCCUAAGAAAGAUACCUCACGAAGCUAGAACUCGCACUUCUUGAGCUUAGCAUAUAACUUGUGCUCUCGAAGUAUCUGGAGUACUUGUCGGAGAUAGUCCUCGUGCUCCACAUCACUCCGCAAGUAGAUCAGGAUGUCGUCAAUGAAGACGACGACAAACUAAUCCAAGUAUGCCCGAAAGACCCUAUUCAUCAUGUCCAUGAAGGCUGUCGGGGCAUUAGUAAGCCCCAAUGGCAUCACCGUGAACUCGUAGUGGUCGUAACGAGUUCGGAAGGCUAUUUUCGGCACAUCCUCAGUCCGGAUCUUAAGCUGAUGAUACCCGAAUUGCAAAUCGAUCUUGGAAUACACCGACGAUCCCUGAAGCUGGUCGAAUAGAUCAUCAAUCUGAGGUAGUGGAUAUUUGUUCUUCACUAUGAUCUUAUUGAGCUCCCGGUAGUCGUUGCAUAGCCGCAGACUACCGUCCUUCUUUUUAACGAAAAGGACUGGGGCACCCCAAGGAGACACGCUAGGUCUGAUGAAUCCUUUAUCUGGGAGAUCUUCGAGCUGAGCCUUCAGCUCCUUCAGCACAGCGAAGGCCAUGCGGUAGGGGGCCUUCGAGAUUGGUGCCGUGCCAGGAACUAACUCGAUGAAAAACUCGAUCUCCCGACUCGGAGGCAUCCUUGGAAGCUCUGCAGAAAAGACAUCCGGAAACUCCCGGACUACAGGAAUCUCCUACAAUGGUGGUGCUGCUCGACAGGUGACAUCCACCGAAGCCAGAUAGGCCAUACAUCCGGCAUUCAAGAGUCUUUUAGUUUUAGCAGAAGAGAUAGUCGCGGCAAAGUAUGAGCUCUUACAUGUUCGGUAGACAAAUACUUCAUCAUCGGGUUCGUUAAAUGUCACCGUCCUCUACUCGCAGUCGAUAGUAGCGUGGCACAUCGUGAGCCAGUCCAUCCGAAGCACCACAUCGAAAUUCUUCAUUGGGAGUACCACCAGAUUCGCCAGGAAAGAUCGGUCAUCCAAAAUGACAGGAUAUAACGGGAAGCACCGAUCAGCUUCUAGAUCACCUCCAGGUGUCUCAAUCCGGAGCGGCACCUCAUGUGGACUCGAGGAAAGGCCAUGUUCACAUGCAAAUGAAUGCGAAACGAAUGAAUGGGUGCUCCAGUAUCGAAAAUAGCUCUAGCUCGACUAAUGCAAAGGGUGACAAUACCUGCAAUGACGUCGCCACCUGUGUCCCUCUUGGGCUGGGACAUAGCGUAGACACGCCCACCAGAAGCCUGGCGCGCCCCGUCAUUCUAGCGUGUGGAAAAGGGACGCCCAGAUAAAGCAGCCGCACUCGAGGCUUCACGAUUCUGUCGCGAUGUGGUUGGGGAGGUAGUACUCUGAGCAGCUUUGUCUCUUCUGGGGCAUUCGGCUCGAAGGUUGCCUGGCUGGCCGCAAUGGAAGCAGUGGCCCCUCCGCUGGGGACAAGUAAUCACCCUAUGUGCUUGCCCGCAAAUCACACAGGAUCGAUCACCCUGUCGCUGGCUGCUAGAGGGUGCACUCCUCACCGAUUGCUGAGUGCGUGGAUGCUUGUGUGGCUUCUUGUUGGAAAAAGAGCCACCACCCAACUUCGCAUGGGAAUGCUUCCCGUCCCCAGAACACUCCAAUGCGUCCUGAUCAGAUCGAAUCUUCUCCGACUCACUUUGUACCAUUAGAGCCCGAUCCAAGCACUCGUCGAAGGAUAUCGCGCCGUGGGGCGCGAUCAAGAGCCGUAUACUGGGCCUUAGCCCCGCGCAAAUAGUCUGGCCUUAUGAUACUCGUUAUGCACCGCAAAGGGGAUCAGCUCGACGAUGCGGGUGAAGUCUCGCUCGUACUUCGCUACAGUGUGGUUGCCCUACUUUAGGCGCUCCAGUUCGCGCUCUAAGCUCUGCUUGGUGCUGCCUUUGAAGUACUGCUCGUAGAGGAGUCUCCGGAACUACUCCCAAGGCGGAUAGAUCUCCGCAAGUUUCUUAUGAAAGUGGCGGAACCACCACCAAUACACCUCUCUCUCUAAGCAAUGAGUAGCCAGAUGGACCAUGUCUUAUUUCUCGAUAUGCAGGUCGCAGAAUAGCUUCUCCAUGUAGGCGACCCAAUGCUCGACUACCCGGCUAUCGUCGUUCUUCGCAACGAGCUUCGGCGGGUCGAACUUUCGGAACUCCGCCAACUUCGCCCGAAUGCGGGUGCCCUCCGCUAUAGGGGUAUCACUACCUUCAACGAAAACCGUCGUGGUGGCCGUCGUCGUCGUCGUGACGGUCAGAGCCGCAGCUGGUGCAGGCAUCACUGGAGGGUCCACGGUCACUAGAGCACUUUGCAUCGAAGGUGGAAAUGGGGGAGCAGCAGCUGCAGUCUGCUAUUGUAGAAACUACUGGAACAUCCCAGAGAGGGCCGUCAGCUGACCCAGCUGCUACCUCGGCCUCGAGCUGCUGUGUACGAGCAUCACCCAGCUGCUCAUGGCCGACCUGCUCCCCGCCACCCCUGCCCGUAGGGGCAUGCUCUCUCGGACCGCCAGAUGCCCUCGCACUAGCGCGUCCACUGCCACGACCUAGACGAGGAGGUCUACCAUGAGCCAUUUGCAAUAAAAAACACCGUCAAGCAAAUAAUUCGACUCGACAAUAUACACCUGAACUCAAGCCCAAACCCCGCACUCGCGUGCCCAUACACCGUAGGUCUUCUUAUGGGUCAACCUAACCAAUGGUUCAGUUCGAUUAUUUUUCAAAACAAACUAUGAGUAGUGCUGUGGUUGUAACUUGACUCUGAUACCACUUUAAUCUGUCACGCCCCGGGGUUCCUUUUUAGAUUUAAAAGCCAAUGUAGAAGUGCCCAAAUUUAAAAAAAAAAAAAAUCUUGAGCCCAGAGUAUAUCAGAUCUGUCACAAAUACAGAGAAUCCGCUAUUCACAUAGACAGAGUCUCUCCUGUAUUUGCACGGCAUCCAAUAAGUACAAGAUACAACCACAACAGUAUGACAUUCACAUACAUCCACCAUUCACAUUCACCAUUAAUUUCAUCACAGAUAUUCAUAAAUUUAAAUCUAUUAGUUUAUAACAUUUCCUACAUGGAAACUCAUUUUGAAACACUAAGAGUCAUGAAAACCAAGAAAAUCUUUCCAAAACCAUUUCUCACACGGAAACCAUUUUCUUCUAAAACACGAUGCUACGACUCAUCUCACAAGAAAACCAUAAUUUUUUUAUUACAUUCACAAAAUCCCAUUUAUCCAAAUAAAGUAAACCACUGAACCAAUAAGUCUAAGUUAAUUAUUUAAGAAGUCCAGUUAAGAAAUUUAACCAAAAUGACGGAUCGGUAGCUCUAUCGAUCGCUAGGACACACACCUCACGAACCGUCCCCACUUGGACCCGCGAUGUCACCUGAAAGGGGGUGGGGGGUGAGAACAUAUACACAUGUCUCCCCUCCCAGUGGGUACCGCAAGCCGACGAAGGUAAGGGGUACUCACCAGUCAAGGAGGAUAACAAAGUAUAGGUAAUGGUAAUACAGUAGCAAUGAUAAACACGAAACGAGAUAUAUAUAUAUAAAUCACUACCGCUACUAUAUGUAUGCAUCAACUAGACGACACGUCCAAAAGUACCCAAUCAAAACCUGUCAUAUCGGUCCAUAGACCUCAAGCUUGUGCCACAACUGCUCUAACCUGUGUACGACCCUAGCAUAAGCUCUUGGAUUUGAAUGGUAUAUGACCCGAGCAUAAACUCUUAGGUCUGAAAGGUAUAUGACCCCAGCACUUAGGUCUGAAAACAUAUAACCCUAGCAUAAGCUCUUGAGCUCACGGGCUGAUAUUCCCAACCACUUUUCCGGAUGAGAACACCCUCUUACGAUGGAUCAGACCACUAGUGUUUGUGAAAUGCAUACGAGUAGUGGCGAUCGAUGCUGAUAUUCUCAAUAGCCAACCGUCGACAACUAGCCGACAAUUCUACCCUUCAGGGUAUACCGACUGCGUAGGUCACCGAGUAAUCCAACCGACCAAGUAGGUCACAAUACCGGAUGCAACGAAUUGACCGACUAGGUCAUACAUCUCACAAAGUAGGGCAAUAAAGAGAUAUGGUAUCAGUGCUAGGCUUAACAUAUAAAAUGCAAAGUGAUAGUAGGAGAAAGGUGGAAUUAAAGGAUGUAACCGAGCGUGUACCACUGUACCGACUUCGGGUCGAAAUAUCCACCUGUACGUAUGUAACACUGGUCUCCCGACUGCAGAAGAACAUCAACCGGACCUACGUACAGUCCAACGGGUUAGAAUCUAACCCACAUAUAUAAAUUACAAACUCACAUUCCCAACUGUCACGCCCCGGAUUACAUGUUUCCCUGGGCACGCGAACAGACCCGCCAUAUACAUAAGAAUUUCUCCUGUAUACGAAGCGAUAGCUAUACCUGUAAACAAAUUCAAGCUACAACUAAUAGUAUAGAGCUACUAAACUGAACUGAAUAUAUAAAUAAACAUCAUGUUCACUAUACAUACAAAGUCUCUAAGAUACAACCAUCCCUCACUCCAGCGAGUAAACGAGCAUAAGUAUGUACAUGAACCAAAAUACCCCAAACUACCUGUGGAAGGUACACCUCUAGCACUGCAGCAAGACUGGAAGGGAUCUAGCUCGUGACUCCCUUUCUACGAUGAGAAUCAGCAACAGCAGCAGCCGCAGACGAAGGCUCUACAAAAUGGGGUCAACAAUUGGGUAUGAGAACUACUGCAAAAAAGAGUAGUCCUCAGGGGUACCGCUACUAACCUCAAAGGCUCACCCACUAAGUCUACAAAAAGUAUGCAUAAGGAUAGUAAAAGAAGCUGGUAAAACUCUACAGCUAUAUGCCACUAUACUAUCGCUAUCCAACACUAACUGGCUGUAGAUAGAUGCAAGCUUUGACCCAAACUCACUAGGGACUGUGAACGCACCCAUCCCGCCUGUUGAAGUUACACCAACCACCACCACCACGUUGGGUUGUUGGUGGAGAGCAAGUCCAACCUGGACACUACGACAUCAACGCAAACGCACAAAACCCGACUUCAGAGUGGCACUCGUGGACGCUACCCAACUGAGUAUGCAAGCGUGUCUCUGCCGAACUCAAUCAAGUUCUCACAGGUUAUAAUCAAAGCAAAUGGGUCUAACUGGCUAACAACCAAAGCUCACGUGCCCUUGGCACAAUCUGAUACAAAUAUAGAAAUCUGGGUCUACCGUCAACUGCGACGGCACUCGACAGCCCGAAACAGUGUACACACUACUGUAAAAAUAAAACUCGGCAUCCCAGCACAAGCGUAAACUUAUCCUACACUAAUCUGAGUAUUCAUCGCAUACUAACAGCGACGAUAUAAAAAAACCACAGCUCCUAAAGCUAAAUCUAGUAAUUUUCAGAAAUGACAGUGUAGGAUCUAUAUGGUUUCUCCUAAGUCAUAUUCUAUAAAUUUAGAAGACCUCUUUCUCAUCCUAUGCAACCGUGCACAAGAUAUACUAACGACCCACGGCUAUGAAAGUCGUACGCAUUCCCUUGCACCCAUGCACUAGGUGCAUUUAAAAUCAUGAUCAUCUUGACCAUGUCAUAUGGGUGUGGCUAAUUCGUACCGCCACCGCCGCCAAAAUAACUGCACUUAUGCUAUAUUUAUAACUUACAUAAAAAAUUACCCAUAUUGUAGUCCGAUUAGAUUUCUACUCUAAUUAAUAUUUAAAUCUUAAAUUUUAAUUUAUCUCCAAUAUAUUUAAAUAUUAAUUAUAAUUCAAUUAAAAUUCAAUUACAAAUCUAAGUAAAUCCUAACACAAAGAGCAUUACUCUGAUGCGCGUGGAACAAAACGAAUGUUUGAAAAAAAAAACCCCAAAAGUCAAAGCUGAGUUCCUUAACACGAGGAUUCCAAGUCUUAAAAAUAUGCGGGGCCCAGGUUGAGCUAGUAAAGUACAUGCGACAAAUAUAAAUUAAGCACCGACCGUCCUGAGAGCAAGUGGCAAAGGGCUUGGUGGUUGGUACCCGAGACUCAAGUUCGAAUCCUAAUUGAUUCAUAUUUUCAGCUAAGUUUAUUUCUAAAUAAACGAAGCGGGUAGUGUACCUAUCUCUCAAAAAAAAAAAAAAAAAGUCAAAUUACUAAAUAAGGCAUACACAAGCAUAUUAACCACGGAAUUAAUUUAAUAAAGGGGAUCUUACUAUAUAAUAAUGGAACCAAUUUAACCUUUCGCCUUUUUGGAUUUAGAAGAGUAAAAUCUCAAUUAAUUAUUAGCUACUUUUGUUCUCAUAUUAUGUGUGUUUGUCCUCUCAACUUUAUAUCGUUAGGUUGUUCUUGUUUACACGGCUUCUCAAUCUUUGCAUGCAAUCAUGCAUGUACUUAAUUAGUUUAUUAUCAAACUAGAGUUUCUGCAUAAAAUAAAUAAAUUUAUUAAUAGUAGUGAAGAGAUUCAAAAGAAAAUAAAGUUUAGUUGUAUUAAUUUUAGAAAUAAAAAAUGAUAUUACUAAACCUAAAUAAUAAAUUAGGUUUUGUAGGAACUCAAUGGCAAUUACAUCUACUUUAUGAUUCUUCUCUAGAUAGCCAAUGAUUUUAGAUCGCCGUCAACUGUGGUCCAGUCUAUAGUAUAAUUAAAUAUAUAUAUAUAUAUAUAUAUAUAUAUAUUGAGCUAGAAUAUUUUUAGAAGUACCAACCUCGUGGUGCUUCUAAGUUUCUAGCCCUUAGAUCUACACCCCGUGGUGCUUCUAAGUUUCUAGCCCUUAAAUCUACUCCUUCAUUACUAAUAACCUUUGGAUCAAACACUAUUCCACCUACCACUAUCAUCCCAACCUUACAUUUCUCCAUCCAAGGAUUAAAAACUCAAAAGUACCAACCUCUUGGUGCUUUUGAGAGUAUUCUAACUCAAUAUAUAUAUAUAUAUAUAUAGAGAGAGAGAGAGAGAGAGUUGAACUAGAAUACUAUCAGUAGUAAACGAGUCGUUUUACUACCAAUUUGUUUUCGAUGAUAGAACUUCCAAAUUUACGAUCGGCUUCGUUGAACAUGAUCUAUACCACUUAAAGUGUUUAGAAAUCAAAUUUUAAAUCUUUUAGACAUCAUUUGCCUAAUGAUCAAAGAGUUUCAAAAUUUGUAAUUUUAAUGGUCGAUAAGAGGCGUUUUCUCGUUUAACAGCGUAAAGAUAUCCAAAUCAAUUGAAUUUUUGUUAGAAAAUUCUUUAAACUAUUUAAAACAAGAUCUAUACUCUUGAUCUUGAUUAUAAGACUCCUAUCAUCAUUUUUUAAAGAGUAUUCAUUUUCAGUUAUUCAUUUUUCUGUUCACUUGAUGGAUAAAAGAACAAAAUCGAAAGUGCAUGAAAUUUGAUUUCUAGGUAGUUUAAAUGGUUUAGAUCAUAUUUAACGAAGCCGAUCGUCAAUUUGGAAGCUCUAUCAUUGAAAACAAAUCGGUAGUAAAACGGUUCGUUUACUACCGAUAGUAUUCUAGCUCAACUCUAUAUAUAUAUAUAUAUAUAUAUAUAUAUAUAUAUAUAGCAGGGCAGCUGUGCUCUCAGGAGCACGGAGGCCUCCGUGCUCCUGAGCCGUUUUCGAUGAUGGAGUUUUCAAAUCGACGAUCGGCUCCGUUAAACUUGAUCUAGCGUAUUUAAAUUCUAAAAAAUAAUUUUUGCGAUUUUUCGAUAUCAUUUACCUAGUAAUCGAAAGGAUUCAAAAUCAAUAAUUUUUAACGGCUAAAAAUAAAAAUCCUAUAAAAAGUAGUGAUAUAGCACUAAAAUUUUCGAUCAGAAAUAUAGAUCUUGUUGUAGAUAGUAUAAAGAAUUUUCUAUCAAAAUUUUAUCUGAUUUGAAUACUUCUAUACCGUUAAACUUGAAAACGGCAGAUAUCAACCAUUAAAAAUUAUGGAUUUUGAAUCCUUUCGAUCACUAGGUAAAUGAUAUCAAAAAAUCGCAAAAAUUAUUUUCUAGAAACUUCAAAUGCGCUAGAUCAAGUCUAACGGAGCCGAUCGUCGAUUCGAAAAUUCCAUCAUCGAAACCGGCUCAGGAGCACGGAGAGCACAGCAGUCCUGCUCUAUAUAUAUAUAUAUAUAUAUAUAUGAGUUGGACUGGGCUACUAUUAGUAGCAAAAUCCCAUUGUUGCUAACAGUUUUUUAGCCUUUGGAUCAACUCUUUUCAUUAUUUCUAACCAUUGGAUUAAAUACUAUAACCCAGUGGGGACCACUCAACCCUAGGGGGACCACUCAACUCUAACCGACUCAAUUCAUCCUGACCUUACAAUUUUUCAUUCAAAGGUUAAAAUUUAGAUAGCAUAAAAAGCUUUUAGCUAUAAUGUUAUUCAGGUAAUUCUUAUAUAUAGUCAUAUACUUAUUAUAUAAAUAGUCGUAUAGUAUAAUAAAUGCCGUUGGUUAAAUCCUUUAACAUGCGGUAAUUCAAAAAUACUGUCAAACUGUACGAUCGAUUUUCAACAUCAAACUAGCCUUAGUGAACCAUCCGCGUUUUAAUCAAACAAGCCGAGUUUUUCUCGAAUCUAUUGAAAAUCAGAUAACUCUAAAAUCACAUUUAGCUGAUUUUAUUUUUAUUACUGCAUAUAUUUAUAAAAAAUAAAUUUGAAAUACUUAUGCAUACUUAUUUGGUAUAGAAACGAUAUUUUUAUUAAAUGUUACAUAAUAAGAAUAAUAAUAUAUGCAUAUUUCUUAUAUGGCAAAAUUAAAAAUGAAUACUAAAUAUUUAUUGUAUUCAUACGACUACUGAUUCAAACCAGUUGUUGGGACUUGGAGUUGAACGCAGUGAUCCUUAAUUUAUGUACAUAUUUUCGGGUUGCCGGUUUGAUUCGAUUUUUUAUAAACUUGCUAGAUAGUGUAUUAGAAUUAGUCAAGUAUAUUCCAUCAUUUUCAAUAUUAUUGCAAAACUUCAAGAAGAUGUAUGCGGAUCUUGGUUUACUACACCACAAUGACUUACUAGUAUGGUAAAUUAAGAUAAAUUACACUUGUGGGCACCAACUAUGUAGCAUGCGGGCACUCUUAGGUUCUAAACUUAGUUUUCUUAUUUUCUAGGCCUCCACUUUACAAUUUAAGUUUACAAUCCGAAUUUAUUUUUGGCUAAUAUAUUGAUGAUCUUAUCUGACUAUACAAAUAAUGUACAAUUAUUUUUGUCGACAUUAUGUAUGACUUUUAUGACAUAUAAAAUCUAUUGUAGUCGUUUAUUUACUUGGAUUGUUAUCUUCAUCAAAUUUCCGCUCAAUACCAACUCAUAUUACGUCAUAUUUUAUCUAUACUUAAACACUCAUUAAUUUUAACGACCCAGCAGUGGGUGCUUACUGCACAAUAUAACUCGUGGCAAUACCGGCUCAAAUGAUUAAGCCAGUUAUUAUUACUAUGUUAAGUCGUCUUUAAACCAAUGACAACCCUCGAUCUAUCGCCUGUGGGUUAUUGGUGUCCAGGACCCCCCGGUUAAGGCGCUGACGUCAUCGGUCCAGUCAAUACACCACGACCAAGUGACAGGCUAUGUGAGGACCUCGUCUCGUAGGCCCGGUAUCCAGACUAUCCUGGCUCAGCGAGACUCACAACAUAUGUCAGCUGUUGCGUGAAACCUGGGCCUGAUUCACUUUAUCUGUACCCCGUGUCCCUUUUAGUUAAAGAGGUAGCGGAAAAAGCGUCUGAAAAUUUGUUUUUAAUGAUGCCCAAAGUGUGCCAGAUCGCCCUACAGAGUUCAACUGUUCAGACGGAAGUAGUCUCCACGUUAUUGCACGGGCGCGCAAAGUUACAGAUUCAAUAGAUCACAUAACCACAACCCAGAUGGAAAUAUUACAAGAAAGGAGACAUACAUUAGUACACCGAUUCACACAUAUUACAAGUAUACAUUCGCUAUUUGAAUAUAAUCCGACAUAUCUAUCGGUUAAAAUAUUUGUCAACCACAAGCUAAACAGGUGGUUGGAAAUACUAAGAUCAACAAAUCACAGAAAUCUUUGAAGCUAUCGCUCUCUAAUAAUCAAGCGUGAGACUUUAUAUAGACUAUAUCAUAACGUUGCUGGCCCGGCACGAGUAUGCGCGGCGUGGUUUAUAUGGAUCACGAAGAUAUGUGACCAGUUUCAUACGAAAGCGAACACCCGACGGUUUAUUCCGUAGAAUAGUGCUGGCUUCAAACCUCUGAAUCAGAUAUCCGUGUCAAAAUUAGUAAAAGUGAAAGAACCAGUAAUAUGUGUCUAAGCUGGAGGUCGUGGGUGGUGCUGGAAUAGCUGCGUUGGUAUAUUUUAUGUAAAUUUAAGCAUGUGACGUUAUGUAAGUGGUUUUUCAUUAUAAGCCAAAGCUAAACGGUGUGGAAAGCGCUAUCGCUUGGCUUAGCGUAUAUGGUACUUCUGCUCGGCUGUCUCUUUUCGAAGAGAGGCUGCGUUGGAUGCCAUGAUUCAUCUCCAUGAUAAAUUGAGCCUGCGGCAGUUGUGGGUGAUCGAUAAUUGUCAGAACAUGUCUCGCGAUCUUCCGCAUGACCUAAUUUUUCUUUGUCAACCCGGACUGGAUGAGGAUUACUCAGAGCCGAGGAAUGUGCGGGGAAGGGCUCGACAUGUAACAUGAAUCGUCACCGCAGUGAUAAGUGGUAGAUUUCUUUUUAGUAUAGCGACUGAGGCGUUGAAGAUUUGAAGAGGUGAUUAAAGUAAGCUGGAGUAGGAACUUGUAUGCGAAUAUUCACUCUCUUUUCGUUAAAUAAGAUUCAGAUGCAUGGAUUUAAAAUAAAACCCACUAGCUGAUCCAUGUUCCAUCUGCAUAAGAAUCGUUGGUGAUACUGAAAUAAACACGUACUUAUGCUUUACUAGGAAUAUACUGGAUAUGAAGGCUGCUGUUAUACUCAUCUCUGACUGUGCGAUAAGCUUCAAAGAUACCCCAAUUUCUUAUAGCAGCCUCGGCUGUGUUGUGAUUUUUUUGCUCUGAAAUACUAGAUCAAAGAAAAGAUAGCACACUGCCUUGCACCGUGGCUUGCUGGCGCUCGCAUCUAAGGUCUCGCCCUUAAUUUAUGAGUCAGAUGACGUACUUUUGCAACAUCGCCCAUGUAUACACGAUGAUGUUGGAGCUUAUGAGGUAGAGUCUCUCAUAUACCACUCAAUCAGCUCUUCUGGCCGCUCUAAGCACUUUCAUUAUGGCAAAUAACUGGUUGGCAAUUCCAACCCACUCAUAUUCUGGAAAAGAACACCCUUCUCUGUGGUGGAGAUCAAACCUCGGGUUCGUGAAUGCGUCCUUGCGUUUUUUGUGUUCAGAGUGGAACCUAAAGUGUCGCCUACUUGUAGGAAGUCAAUAUGUUUAUUGCUUACGUGAUCGGUCAAAUAUAACUCAUGAGGGGUAGCGAAAAUACUAGCUCGACAAUCCAAGCCCUCAAGGGCCACGAGCCGUAUUAGGCAAGAUCUCAGCAACGCUAAUCGAGGCUAAUAAGUCAGAUAACAAUCGUAGCCACUCGAGCGAUAGUAUAGGGUAUCAAAGUAGGGAACACCCAACUAAAAUAUUAAUAUAGUGAACAGAUACAAUCAACUCUAUCUUCCUAAGCCGAUAUCACAGAGAAAUACUGGUAGAGGAAUGCAGAUAUAAAAGCAGGUGGUGAACUCCUUAUAACGGUAAGACGUAGCAGUCAACAGUGGGAAUGUGAAGGAAAGAAAGUCACGAGCGUGCCAUGUACGAUACGGGUGCCAAGUACGACUGUCGCUAUCUGCACGAACGGUCUCUCGAUAGUGAAGACGGACGCGGACCACAUAUCGAAAGGUCCAACGCAGUUAGCGAAUCUAAUCCAUUGCACAAUGUAAUGGCUAACUACAACCCUCGCUCUCGCCCGAACUCCCCACGACGAUUCUCAAAAAGCGAUUAUCGAAUAGCCGGGAAGUCCCGGAAACUUGCACCGGAACUUCAUCGCGCUCACCUUCGCUUCGAACCCACAACGACGCGCGACCGGAUGGUGACCAGCCAACAAGGCUGGGGAGCGAUCGCGUUCAAUUAGCCGAGAGGCACCGCUCGGCAUGAUAUUCCGAACCGAAACCGCCGGUCUAUGCGGAUUGCGCCCGAGAAACUGCUUCCGGGAAUCACUUUUUUGAUUUCCGUAAGGGUUGGGCCGGAUUGGAACGAUCAGUCCGAGACAUUAUCUCAGCCAAAUAUGCAAGCAACCCGAUCUACACACGAAGCCAGACAAACCUAAAGCCCUGACCGAUCAGAUGAAUGCCAUAAUUUGUUCUUUUCCCAUUUUUGUGAAGAUUUUUUUUCUGGCUUUUUUUCUUUCUAGGACGUGCGUGCAAACAGAGUAGUCGUUAAUACGACCGUCGUUACUCGCUGUAAGGUUUCAGCAUGUCGCGCAAGGCCGCGUGCUCCCUUUCGGCAGCUAUCUGCCUCGCCACGCGGUGCGCCAACGAGAACACGCACGCGAAUGUUCUAUAAAUGCUCGCGCACAGCGCGAAGAUCAAUAAUCAAAAACCAGCGCGCAUCUUGCCAUUAUGCCGCCCGGAAGCGUGUUGGCUUUAGGUGAGCACAUGCUUCGGAGGACAUUCGAUAAAUGGGACGAUACAGAGAAGUUGGCAUGGCCCUGCUCGCGGAAGGCAUGAAACGCAAAACUCGAGAAAUCGUCCAAAUUUUUUUAAUGUCCGACAGAACCCAACUGCAACAAUUAACCUGUUGGGCCCGAUACCGCCUCAAAAUGCUUAAGCCCCAGUUAUUUUAAUGAGGUGUCAAGUCUCUUAUCACCCAAUGAAACCCAUUCCUUAUCCGAUGUGGAUUAUUGGCGGUGUAAAGACUCCCCCUGUUAAGUCCUGAGUCCUCGUCAGCUCAAAACACAUCAGCCAAGAUCACAGGGCUAUCGUGAGACUCGUCUGCUAGCCGUAUCCAGACCUGGACUCGCCGAGACUCGCCAACAUGUCCAGCUGACUUGAAACUGGUUAUGAUACCAAAAGUAAACGACCCAGCCCACUAGCAACAAUAACUCGUUGGGCCCAAUCACCGGCUCAAAAUGCUUAAGCCCAGUUAUUAUUAUUAGUGUCUAAGUCUCUUAUAAACCCAAUGACAACCCCAUUCCUAUCCGAUGUGGGAUUAUUGGGGUGUCACAUUAAUAUUUAACCAACUAAAUUAGGCUGUGGAACUUGAUUGCAGUAACUAAAAAAUUUGAAUCAAAGCCUAUAAUAAAUUAAAAUUUGAGAACCAAACCGUCACAAACUUAACAUUUUAAGGACUAAAUUAAAGUGUAAGUUACCCAAAAUAUAUAUAGUAACAUUUGGAAACUACAGUUUACAAAUCAUGCUAUCAUGCUAUUUAAUGGUUCACUUUUCUUUUUUCUGACCUGGUCAAUCGUAUCAUAUCGUAUCAUGCCUAGUAUUUGGUGGUUUAAUUUUCUUCCCAAAUUGUAGUGGCCACAUCAGAACGGCUUUAGAUAUUACUGUGAAAUUUGUUUGUUAGCGGCCCAUUAAUCGUGCAUGGCAAGUAACGUUAAUUGUGCCAAUUUAAGAUGGUCAUAAUUCACCAUUUUACAGCUGUAAGAGAGAGAGAGAGAGAGAGUGAGUGAGAGAGUGCGGAUACAGCUGAUAAUAGUGGCAAAUAAUAAUUUGUUGGACUUAUUAACUACCCAUUUCAAAGAACUUUUUAUAAAAUAAUUCUCUGAAAUUUUAUAAUUUAUAAAAUAAUCUUAUCAAAUUCAUAUUUGGCAAACUAAUUUUCGAAACGUAGUGAAUCAUUCAUCGCAUUCUGAAGACUUCAAGGUCUUUUAAAGGUGGUGAAUCAUUCACAGUAUUUAUUAAGACGGUUAACGAUUCAUCGUUUUCUUCAUAAUUUUUUGAAAAGAGAAAAAAAAAAGUGAGACCGUUAAAAUUGUGCGUAAAUUAUACAGGAAAUAAAAAAAAAAAAGUGAGAUUGUUAGAAUUGUAUAUGGAUUAUUAGAAUUUUUGUUUGAUUAAUUAGAAUUGUAUGGAUAGAUUAUUAAGAUUUUUUUUUUAUUGUUAGAAUUGUAUGGAUAGAUUAUUAGGAUUUUUUAAAUUAUUAAGAUAUGUGAUUUUGAUUAUUAUGAUUGUAUGGAUAGAUUAUUAUAAUUUUUUUAAUUAUUAGGAUUAUAUAGAUAGAUUAUUAAAAUUUUUAUAUUGUUAAAAUUAUAUGUGAUUUGUUGGAAUAUUUAUAUAGUUGUUAGUAUUAUGUAUGGGAUAUAGAAAGAAAUAGUAAAUAAGUAAAAGAAGGUGAAUCAUUUACCGCUUUUGUGAGAAAUUAGGAAGGCGGUGAAUCGUUCACCGUCUUUAUGAAGGCGGUGAAUCAAUGAUUCACCGCCUUUAAGAGAAAAUUAUAAUGUAGCGCUCCUACAUAACAAAAAAAGGGUUAGUUUUCUAAAUAUAAAUUUAGUAGGGUAUUUUGCAAAUACCAAAAUUUUAGAGGAUUAUUUUAUAAAAAAGUCCAAUUUAGGUUAAGCUCUACUGUUAUUAUUAUUUAGGAUUAAUUGCAUAUAAGUCCAUACAAAUACAGUGAAUUAUAAAUAUAUAUUUUUAUAAAGUUCAACUUUCAUAUGUUGUCCCUACAAAAGUUUUAAUUAAUAUUUUCAAAUAUAUUCUUGAUGCUAGUUGUUAAAAUAUAAAUAGUUCUCUAACGAUAACAAAUGAAAGUUGAACUUUGUAGAGAUGUAUUUACAAUACACUAUGUUUGUAGGGACUUGUAUGCAUUUAACCUUAUUAUUUAUUAUUAUUAUUAGGGUGUUUAAUCCUUAUAUUUUCAAUCACUAAUAUUUUUUAUCUGAUGUGGAACUAUUAGGGUGUUAUAAACUCUCUGUUUAGACCAUCUAAUGUGAGACUANUAUAGAUGCAGGUAAAUAAAACAGUAGCUACAAUAAACAGAUAAGGAUGUACUGAAAAUAAACACUACAGCUACUGUAUGCAUGCGUCAACUGACGAUAAGCUCAAAAGUACCCAAUCUCGCUGCCCUAUUGGUCCGAAGACCUCAGGCCCAUGCCACACUGCUCAACCUGUACCUGACCCUCGCAAUGAAGCCCCUGGGUCAGAAGCACAGUACCUGACCCUCGCAAUGAAGCCCCUGGGUCAGAAGCAUAUACCCUCGCAAUAAAGCCCCUGGGCUCACGGGUUGGCAAUCCAACCACUUUUCCGGAAAAGAACACCCUCUUGCGGUGGAUCAGACCGCUGGUGUUCGUGAAAUGCGUACCUGCAGUGGCGAUCAAUAUAGUAUGCUCAAAGAUCAUCCAUCGGCAACUAGCCGACAAUCCAAGCCCCUCAGGGCACACCGACCGUAUAGGCCAUCAGCAACUAAUCGGCUACAUAAGUCAAGAUAACACUGUAGCAACUCGACCGAAUAGGUCAUAGGUAUCAAAGUAGGGGAACCACCCAACCAAAUCAUAAAUAUAGUGAACAGAUAAAUCAACUCUACUCCUAAGCACGAUAUCAACAGGGAAAUAACUGAGUAGAGGAAUGCAGAUAUAAAAGCAGGUGUAAGGCUCCAUAUAACGGUAAGAUAGAGUAAACAGUAGGGGUGAAGAAACGUCACCGAGCGUGCACCACUGUACCGACUACGGGUCGAAGUACCCACCUGUACGUAUCUGACGAAGGUCUCUCGACUGUGAAGACGGCGCGACCGAACCUACGAAAGGUCCAACGGGUUAGGAUCUAACCCACUGACAUGUAAUGCUAACUCACAACCCUCGCUCGCCAGAACCACGACCGGUUUCCCAAAACCGAUUAUCGAAUAAGCCGGAAGUCCCGAAAACCGCACCGGAACUUCAUCGUCGCUCACCCGUCGUUUCCGAACCCUCACAACGACGCGGGUGACCAGCCAACAAGGCUCAGCGACGCUUCAAUUAGCCACGAGGCACCGUCGGAUGAAUUCCGAACCGAAACCGCGUUCUAUCGGCGGAUUUCGCCGAAAACGCUCCGGGAAUCACUUUUUGAUUUCCGUAAGGGCUUGGGCCUUGGACGAUCAGUCCAGAGAUUAUCCUCAGCCCAAACAUGCAGCCAACAGCAUCUAUAACGAAGCAGAAAACCUAAAAGCCCAUACCGAUACAUGAAAUCGCAUCAUUUCAUGUGAUUUCUAGGCUUUUCUGGACCGUGCAGGCAAACCAGAGGUCGAUUAAUCCGACCGUCGUACUCGCUGACAGGUUUCAGCAUGUCGGAGGCCGUGCUCACCUUUCGGAGCACUGCCGGCCACUGCGGUGCGCGCACGAGCGACGCGAAGUUCUGAUAAACUGCGCGCACAGCGCGAAGAUCCCAACUAACUCACAAACCAGGGCAUCUUUGCCGCUGUUGGAGGUGAGCACGAUGUUCGGAGACAUCCGAUAAAAUUGGAACGAUACAGAGAAGAUUAGCAUGGCCCCUGCGCAAGGAUGACACGCACAAAUCGAGAAAUGGUCCAAAUUUUUUUAAUGUAACGACCCAACCCACUAGCAACAAUAACUCGUUGGGCCUAAUCACCGGCUCAAAAUGCUUAAGCCCAGUUAUUAUUACUAGUGUCUAAGUCUCUUAUAAACCCAAUGACAACCCCAUUCCUAUCCGAUGUGGGAUUAUUGGGGUGUCACAGACUCCCCCCGUUAAGGUCCUGACGUCCUCGUCAGUCCAAACACACACAGCCCAAGAUCACCAGGCUAUGUGAGACUCGUCUCGCUAGCCCGUCAUCCAGACCCUGGCUCAGCCGAGACUCGCCACACAUGUCCAGCUGGUGAACCUGGCUCUGAUACCAAAUGUAACGACCCAGCCCACUAGCAACAAUAACUCGUUGGGCCCAAUCACCGGCUCAAAAUGCUUAAGCCCAGUUAUUAUUAUUAGUGUCUAAGUCUCUUAUAAACCCAAUGA